rnacentral:rRNA from 1 species
GGACGAAAUAAGGGCGUAUGGUGGAUGCCCUGACUAGAAAAGGCGAUGAAGGACGUGGCGUAGCUGCGAUAAGUCUCGGGGAGGUGCGUAGCAACCUUUGAUCCGGGAAUUUCCGAAUGGGGAAACCUAACGCUGAAAACCAGCGUUGCAUGCUGCGUAAAAACAGCAUGAGCAGACCCGCUGAAGUGAAACAUCUCAGUAAGCGGAGGAAAAGAAAACAAUGUCUCGAAUUUCGAGAUAACUAUUUCCUUAGUAGCGGCGAGCGAAAAGGAAAGAGCCCAAACCUACUUUGUGCUUUUGCGCAGGGUAGGGGUUGCAAGACAAAUACGCUUUUUUAAUUAUCUUUUAGAUUCAACUCGAGUGUUAAAAGAUUAUUAAAAAGUGGGAGAGUCACAAAUUUUUUGGUUAGCUGAAUGAAAUGGAAAGUUCAACCAAAGAAGGUGAUAGUCCUGUAGGCGAAAACCAAAAAACUCUCUAGUAUUUGUUCUUAAGUACUUCGAGAAAAGAAAACCUCGGAGGAAGCUGCCAGAACUAAACUGGCAAGGCUAAAUACUUUUCUAGAUCGAUAGCGGACCAGUACCGUGAGGGAACGGUGAAAAGUAGGCCGGUGAGGCCGGUGAAAUAGAACCUGAAACCAUACGCUUACAAGGAUACGAAGCGCGGAGCGCUUCGCGCCGAAUGCAAAAUGCAAAAUCAAAAUGUAAAAUUUAGGUAUCUCUUCGGGAUAAAUUUAUAAAUUUAUCAUCGAAGGUGAUAUUUAAUUUUGACUUUUGAAUUUUGACUUUUGAAUUCGUUACGCGGAGCGCAUUGGACGUGAAGCGCUCCGCGUAACGUAGUGCCUAUUGAAGAAUGAGCCAACGAGUGUAUAGAUGCUGCUUUGGUUAAUCCUGCUCAGCGGGAGAAGCCAUAGGGAAACCGAGAUUUAAUAGAUCGUCCAUCUUUUCUUCGCAGUAAAUUUAUUUUUGCUGCGAAGAGAUGAUGAGGUAGCAUUUAUACGACCCGAAGCCAAGCGAGCUUAUCAUGGCCAGGGUGAACUUCGGCGAAAGCCGAAGGGAGGCCCGAACCGGUUGGUUGUGCAAAACCUUCGGAUGAGCUGUGGUAAGUAGUGAAAAGCUAAUCGAGCUUGGUAAUAGCUGGUUCUCUCCGAAAUAGCUUUAGGGCUAGCAAUCAUCUAUUCAAUUUUUGGGGGUAGAGCUACUGGUUUAAUCGUAAAGGGCGAAAGCUCGGCGAUUAAGUCAAACUCCGAAUACCAAAAACGAGGAUGAUCAGUAAGACUACGGGGGCUAAGCUUCGUGGUCAAAAGGGCAAGAACCCUGAUCGCCGUCUAAAGCCUCUAAAUCUUGGUUAAGUGUUAAAGGAAGUGAUUAGCCGAAGACAGAUAGGAUGUUGGCUUAGAGGUAGCCAUCAUUUAAAGAGUGUGUAACAACUCACUAUCAUAUUCCGACUUCGGUCGGAAUUGGCUGAUCGCGCCUAAAAUGUAGCGAGGCUUAAACCAAGUGCUGAAGACGCGACUUCUUGUGUUUUGCACAAGAGGGGUAGGAGAGCAUCCCAACAUCAGUGAAGUAGGAUUCGCGAGAACCUAUGGAGAGGUUGGGAGAGAGAAUGUUGGCAUGAGUAACCGCAUUCCCAAUGAGAAAUUGGGACGCCGAAAAUCCAAGGUUUCCGUGGCAAUGGCAAUCAACCACGGGUUAGGCGAGCCUAAGGCAAUGGCGAAAGCCGCAGCUGAUGGAUAGCUGGUUAAUAUUCCAGCCCUUCCUAUAAAUUCGAUGGAGGGACGAAGGAAAAAGAUCUGAGCGUCUUAAUGGUUUGACGUUCUUGGUGAGUAGAAAUGUUUGCUAGGUAAAUCCGGCAAACUGUCUUUAAUGACAAAUUUCAAUCAUCGAGAAAAUUUCGCUUCGGCGGAAAAUUCAGAAGCAGAGCCUUCCGAGAAAAACUUCUAAGGUUAAUUUAUAGGAAUUCGUACCGGAAACCGAAACAGGUGGAUAGGUGUAAGUGCACUAAGGCGAACGGGUGAUUCCUCGUUAAGGAACUCGGCAAAAAAGCGGCCGUAAGUUCGCGAUAAGGCCUGACCAUCUUGUGCUUCGCACAAGGAAAUUCGAAGUAUGAAUAUCGAAUUCAAAAACAGCCAAUUAAAUCUAGAACUUUUUAGAGAUUUGAAUUUCUGUCAUUUGGAUUUUCUUGUGCGGAGUGCGAGGUGGCCCGCAGCUAAAGAACCUCUGGCGACUGUUUAAUAAAAACACAGGUCCCUGCUAACUCGUAAGAGGAUGUAUAGGGGCUGACGCCUGACCGAUGCGAGAAGGUCAAGAGCGACAGUUGAUUUGUCGCAAGACAAAUCAGCCGAUCGCUUUAAGCCCUCGUCAAUGUCGGCGGUAACUAUAACCGUCCAAAGGUAGCGCAAUUCCUUGUCGGGUAAGUUCCGACGCGCAUGAAUGGCGUAACGAUCAGAGGACUGUCUCAACGAGGAGCCCGGUGAAAAUGCGAUUCCAGCGAAGACGCUGGGUACCUGCAACAAGACGAAAAGACCCCGGGAGCUUUACUGUAGCUUGAUAUUGGGUUUAAGUUGUUGCUGCGUAGCAUAGGUGGGAGACGUUGAAGCUCCGAUUCCGGUCGGAGUGGAGUCGCCAGUGAAAUACCACUCUGUAACAACUUAAAUUCUAACCUCAGUGGUUAAAACGCUGGGGGACAGUGUCUGGCGGGCAGUUUUUCUGGGGCGGAAUCCUCCUAAAAGGUAACGGAGGAGUUUAUUAAGGUCGGCUAGGUGCGGAUGGAAAUCGCACUGGUCGUGUAAAGGCAUAAGCCGGCUUAACUGUGAGGCUCACACGCCAAACUCGAGUUUGUAAAAACUCGACGGUCCGUAAUUUUUAUUUACGGAUUGAGAUGCGAAAGCAGAACUUAGUGACCCGACGGUUCUUUUUAGAACGGCCGGAGACAUCGGACAAAAGCUACCCCGGGGAUAACAGGCUGGUCAGAUCCGAGAGUCCCUAUCGACGAUCUGGUUCGGCACCUCGAUGUCGGCUCAUCCUAGCGCGGGGCUGGAGAAGGUCCCAAGCGUUUGGCUGUUCGCCAAUUAAAAGGAUACGCGAGCUGGGUUUAAACCGUCGUGAGACAGGUUGGUCUCUACCUGUUGCAGGCGUUGACACUUGAAGGAGGUUGACCCUAGUACGAGAGGACCGGGUUGAACGAACCUCUGGUGUACCGGCUUUUCCACCAGGAGAAUUGUCGGGUAGCUAUGUUCGGUCGGGAUAAGCGCUGAAAGCAUCUAAGCGCGAAGCCCAUCCUAAGAUUAGGUGUCAUUUCACCCCCUAGAAGAUGACUAGGUCCGACGCAAGUCGGGAUUCCAAUUCGAAAGAGUUGGAAUUGAUAGGCGUCAGGUGUAAGAUUCGUAAGAAUUUGAGCCGAGACGUACUAAU